rfam:Auricularia subglabra TFB-10046 SS5 ATRDEscaffold_987_Cont4144, whole genome shotgun sequence.
ACGUUGGUAGCUCAGUGGCUAGAGCGCCUGACAUGUGACCAGGAGGUCUUAGGUUCAAUCCCUGAUCGACGUG